rnacentral:lncRNA from 1 species
AGGAGAUCGACUCCACCCACUCCCUCUCGGGUUCGAUCUUCCCGGCGGCGCGGCGGCCGCCGGAGGAGGUCGGGGCGGCAACGAACCGGCGGCGGAGGCCGAGGGGGAGGUGGUGCUCCCCACCAUAGGCGGUGGCGACGCGCGGAGGCCACGAAGGCUCAGCCUCGGCCCGCAUGGCGUCCAGGCCUCGACGGCGGCGCGUGGGGACGGCGGCGGCCGGCACGGCGGGACGGCGGAGGUCGGGGCCGCUGCCAGAGGUGGUGCCCGACCGUGAUGACACUCCUGGGUUGCCCUCGGAUAGAAAUGGAGGAGGUUGAUGGAUUGGUUGAGAGAGAAGGAUGGAGGAGGUGGCCGGGUUCUAGUUUUCCGGCGACCGGGGAACCUGCCGGCGGCCGGGGUGCGAGCAUGGCUAGGGCAGGGCUAUCUGAGGUCGGCUAGGGUUAGUUGAGGGAACUAGGUCGGCUAAAUCUAGGGUUUCAUGCAUGGAAACCCUAGAUGCACCUUAUAUACCUAGUGUACAAUUGCAGAUAGCUCCCCCGAAGUUAUAUAUUUCUAACCCAGUGCUUUACAGUAGGUAAAUAUUGCACAUACGCACCUCCACAUUCGAUCUCAAGCGAUUCGGUACAUAAAAUACAAUGACUUUUGCGAAGUUUCCGAUUUGCCACCUUCGACCCCUUAGCGAACAUUUCGCGUUUCCCGAAAAUCCAUCCGUCGGAUUUUCAAUCCGAUAGAGCCAUCGCGUUCAGCACGACGAGGACAUCGAAACUACGAUUUCGUUUCAUCCGAUUUACUUGCCGAUUUGCGACAAAAUCCAACCUCUCACCAACUAAUCCAUAUAUCAUGCAUAGGCCUUGGUGGAAACCUGAAAUCCUUUAAUUCAAACCCGUAUUUGAUUUCCCUACCACUAGUAGGUACUUGAAACAUCUCUCACCCAUCUCCAGAUCACUUGUACAAAGCACGAGGAGUUUUAAAAUGCACGAAUAGCAAAGAGCGAAAACCCUCUUUUUGUUAAAACUCCAUUUUCUCGAAAACCGUGCAUCAGAUCUGAAAUCCGUCAGUG